GUUAGGUGUUAGCUUUGUAAGAUGCUUCAUGUUUUUCGCGGUUUCUUUUUUCUGUUCUUUGUCUUCUUCUUUCUCUUCUUUC
rnacentral:ribozyme from 15 species